UACGUAGGGGGCAAGCGUUAUCCGGAAUUAUUGGGCGUAAAGAGUGCGUAGGUGGUUACCUAAGCGCAGGGUUUAAGGCAAUGGCUCAACCAUUGUUCGCCUUGCGAACUGGGCUACUUGAGUGCAGGAGAGGAAAGCGGAAUUCCUAGUGUAGCGGUGAAAUGCGUAGAUAUUAGGAGGAACACCAGUGGCGAAGGCGGCUUUCUGGACUGUAACUGACACUGAGGCACGAAAGCGUGGGGAGCAAACAGG
rnacentral:rRNA from 1 species